rnacentral:lncRNA from 1 species
AGUUUUAAUUGAUGAAAACUAUAGCAAAUUUCAAAUUGUUGGAUUCCAUUAACAAUUCUAUAAUGUCUACACGUUGACAUAAAUUCAAGCAAAUUUCAAAUUCUUGGGAUUUUACUUAUACAUGUUUAGGAUGCUACUUUUGAAUAAUAUUGAAUACUAUAAAUUCAAGCAAAUUUCAAGUUUUAAUUGAUGAAAACUAUAGCAAAUUUUG